rnacentral:rRNA from 1 species
UCGCUGAUGGAUGGACCCGCGGUGCAUUAGCUAGUUGGUGAGGUAACGGCUCACCAAGGCGACGAUGCAUAGCCGACCUGAGAGGGUGAUCGGCCACAUUGGGACUGAGACACGGCCCAAACUCCUACGGGAGGCAGCAGUAGGGAAUCUUCGGCAAUGGACGAAAGUCUGACCGAGCAACGCCGCGUGAGUGAAGAAGGUUUUCGGAUCGUAAAACUCUGUUGUUAGAGAAGAACAAGGAUGAGAGUAACUGUUCAUCCCUUGACGGUAUCUAACCAGAAAGCCACGGCUAACUACGUGCCAGCAGCCGCGGUAAUACGUAGGUGGCAAGCGUUGUCCGGAUUUAUUGGGCGUAAAGCGAGCGCAGGCGGUUUCUUAAGUCUGAUGUGAAAGCCCCCGGCUCAACCGGGGAGGGUCAUUGGAAACUGGGAGACUUGAGUGCAGAAGAGGAGAGUGGAAUUCCAUGUGUAGCGGUGAAAUGCGUAGAUAUAUGGAGGAACACCAGUGGCGAAGGCGGCUCUCUGGUCUGUAACUGACGCUGAGGCUCGAAAGCGUGGGGAGCAAACAGGAUUAGAUACCCUGGUAGUCCACGCCGUAAACGAUGAGUGCUAAGUGUUGGAGGGUUUCCGCCCUUCAGUGCUGC